GAGAGAGAGAGAGAGAGAGAGAGAGCACUCGCGCUCACCGACUUGUGGGGAACUCACACCUGACAAAGGACCUUUCUUAUGGGGAAAGUUCAGAAUUGUGGGGAACUCUCUCGUUCCCCACAAAUAUGGUCAUGGGGUUUUUUGAAUUCUACGUGUUCUACUGAUAAUAUUUAUUCGAUUUGUGGUCAUUUUUGAAAAAAUCCCCAUAAGUCCGUAAAAUUGACUCGCAGUAAUUUUCUCACUGCACCGUAAAACGAAUGUUUGAGGAUGCUGGGAAAUGUUCAUUCGGAACGCAGCGGAAUUUAAACUGGUCCCCAUAUGAUACCAAUUUAUUGCGGGCAAUGGCUGCUCCGAGAAUAUGUGGCCUAAUGGCUAUCCUGUAAGAACAAACUACGGAUUUAUAUGAAUUCAGCACCCCCGGGAUAUGGUUUUCGGGUUUUCACCACAAGAGCAAAUUAUACAACUUUAUUCUUGAAAAUGUUAGAGACUGAGACAAAGUCAACAGACACGCUUGCAUGGACAUGAAGGAUGUAAAGAACUAGAGUAUUAUAACUGAAAGCAUUUUGUCUGGAUUUGUGUAUGGAAACAGAAGGAUUUAGUAUUGGUAUCCUGAAUUUUUGUCAACUUCUAGCCAAGAUCCUGUACUUAAGCUGAAUGUGGAGGACAGAUGUACACACAGUACUAGUAUAGAGGGUAUUAUCUCGGUACCUUAAAACUCCAAACGACAGGGAGAAGAAGAAAACUGCAUAUUUCCGAUGUAUCUUCACAGCAACAUGACCCAAAGCACUACCAUUAAAGGAUUUGAUUUGACAUUAAGGAAGUAAAAAAAUGAAGGCAUUAGUCAUAAAGAAAAUUAAAGAACUUUAUGUCUGAAUAUUAUAUCAACAAUACCAUAGAUCUAAAGAUGGAUUAUUUUGCCUUAUAAUUUAUAUUAAUGCAUGUACAUGUAAUUUUAUUCUUUUUAUAUAUACAAUCAUGUAGUGUUACCAUUUUUCACAAAGCUUAAAAAGUUAUGUAGGGCCACACCAAUUUAAUUUCUUGUUUGUCGGACAUUUGAUUUAAAAAAAGUACAAGCAGUUAAAUGAUAAUAUUAUUACUCUUUGCUGGGCAAUUUUUUAGGCGGAGCGUGAAAAUUUGAGCGGACAAUUAUAUUUUUUCUGAUUUACAGAGUAAGCAGAUAUAAAAUACAAUAAAUAGAGCGGAAAUGGAACAGAAAAUAGCACAGAAUUCCUAUGGUGCGAGAAAUUGAAAUUAAUAUUAUUUGUAUGGUUUUGUUUAAAUAAGCGCGUGGGUCCGACGAACAAAAAUUUUCAUUAGUGUGGCCUAGAUCAUUUAGAUUCAAUUCAUUUUUUUCUUCAAAUUACCACAUGCCAGAAUUCAUAAGAAGGAAAUUUAUAUAUGGCUGGUGGUUG